CCAUGAAGAUUUUCAAAGGACACCAAUCCAAGCCUAGCACCUGAUGUCAAGCUUCUAGCAUGUGAUCAAGUGGGAC
rnacentral:lncRNA from 1 species